UACAGAGGGUGCAAGCGUUAAUCGGAAUUACUGGGCGUAAAGCGUGCGUAGACGGUAGCGUAAGUCGGGUGUGAAAGCCCCGGGCUCAACCUGGGAAUUGCAUUCGAGACUGCUCUGCUAGGGUGCGGAAGAGGGAAGCGGAAUUUCCGGUGUAGCGGUGAAAUGCGUAGAUAUCGGAAGGAACACCAGUGGCGAAAGCGGCUUCCUGGUCCAGCACCGACGUCAGGCACGAAAGCGUGGGGAGCAAACAGG
rnacentral:rRNA from 1 species